rnacentral:lncRNA from 1 species
GCUGGCUGCAAGGCCCCUUGGAUGCUUUAUCCCUCUUCAGGGCAGCUUUAAGAUCUCCUUUUCUGCCUGAACAAAGGCUUGGCCAGAACAGCUCCAGAGAGCGCUGGAGUGUGACCUGCUGGGACCUCGUAGCUGAUGGCAUGUGUGGGCUGGCGUUGGGGUGAGAGUGAUGGAGCCCCAGCUGCCCACCUGGACACCUCCCCAGGGCGUGGAGCACCCAAGAUCUCCAAAAAUCCCACUGAUGUCUGUGCACCUGGACCCACACCUGCAGCCAGACUGGCUCACUGUGAGUAUAAGAGCCACGGACAGGACUGAGCUGGGGUGGACAUGUGGGGAAGGAAAAUGAAACAAACAAACAAAUAAAAUAAUAAUAAUUUAAAAAAAAGCAAGUGAGACUAUUCAAAAGGGGGACUUUAUUUUUAUUACACUGGAGCCAGGCGUCAGUGCGCCAGUUCAGCUUUGAUACACAAUAAAUCAGCAAACCUGUCACUCAGUUUGGAAACCAAGAUUGCAGUGGCACUAAAAACACAUUGAAAACAUUUACUCUCUUCCCUUUUUUUUUUUUUUUUUUCCCU